AAUGGGGGAAACCCUGAUCCAGCCAUGCCGCGUGAGUGAUGAAGGCCUUAGGGUCGUAAAGCUCUUUCGCCAGAGAUGAUAAUGACAGUAUCUGGUAAAGAAACCCCGGCUAACUCCGUGCCAGCAGCCGCGGUAAUACGGAGGGGGUUAGCGUUGUUCGGAAUUACUGGGCGUAAAGCGCACGUAGGCGGACUGUUAAGUUAGAGGUGAAAUCCCGGGGCUCAACCCCGGAACUGCCUUUAAUACUGGCAGUCUAGAGUUCGAGAGAGGUGAGUGGAAUUCCGAGUGUAGAGGUGAAAUUCGUAGAUAUUCGGAGGAACACCAGUGGCGAAGGCGGCUCACUGGCUCGAUACUGACGCUGAGGUGCGAAAGUGUGGGGAGCAAACAGGAUU
rnacentral:rRNA from 1 species